AUAGAUACCCGGGUAGUCCACGCCGUAAACGAUGAGUACUAGGUGUAGGGGGUAUCGACCCCCCUGUGCCGCAGUAAACACAAUAAGUACUCCGCCUGGGAAGUACGAUCGCAAGAUUAAAACUCAAAGGAAUUGACGGGGACCCGCACAAGCAGCGGAGCAUGUGGUUUAAUUCGAAGCAACGCGAAGAACCUUACCUGGACUUGACAUCUCCUGAAUAACUCGUAAUGGAGGAAGCCCUUCGGGGCAGGGAGACAGGUGGUGCAUGGUUGUCGUCAGCUCGUGUCGUGAGAUGUUAGGUUAAGUCCUGCAACGAGCGCAACCCCUGUCGUUAGUUGCCAUCACGUAAAGGUGGGCACCCUAACGAGACUGCCGCGGUUAACGUGGAGGAAGGUGGGGAUGACGUCAAAUCAUCAUGCCCCUUAUGUCCAGGGCAACACACGUGCUACAAUGGGCAGAACAGAGAGAAGCAAUACCGCGAGGAGGAGCAAAUCUCAAAAACUGCCCCAGUUCGGAUUGCAGGCUGAACCG
rnacentral:rRNA from 1 species